rnacentral:rRNA from 1 species
CCAUGCAUGUCUCAGUACAAGCCGCAUUAAGGCGAAACCGCGAAUGGCUCAUUAAAUCAGUUAUGGUUCCUUAGAUCUUACACUUUUUACAUGGAUAACUGUGGUAAUUCUAGAGCUAAUACAUGAAACCAGUACCCCGACUUUGCGGAAGGGGUGCUUUUAUUAGAACAAAACCAAUCGGUCGGCUCGUCCGUCCGUUGCCUUGGUGACUCUGAAUAACUUUGGGCUGAUCGCACGGUCCUAGCACCGGCGACGCAUCUUUCAAAUGUCUGCCUUAUCAACUGUCGAUGGUAGGUUCUGCGCCUACCAUGGUUGUAACGGGUGACGGGGAAUCAGGGUUCGAUUCCGGAGAGGGAGCCUGAGAAACGGCUACCACAUCCAAGGAAGGCAGCAGGCGCGCAAAUUACCCACUCCCGGCACGGGGAGGUAGUGACGAAAAAUAACGAUACGGGACUCAUCCGAGGCCCCGUAAUCGGAAUGAGAACACUUUAAAUCCUUUAACGAGGAUCUAUUGGAGGGCAAGUCUGGUGCCAGCAGCCGCGGUAAUUCCAGCUCCAAUAGCGUAUAUUAAAGUUGUUGCGGUUAAAAAGCUCGUAGUCGGAGGUGUGUCUCGGACGGUCGGUUCGCCGCUUGUCGGUGCUCAACUGGCCGGUCCGGACGUCCUGCCGGUGGGGCUGUAAAAGGCUCCGUUAUCCUUCUUUGGUCCUCUUCAUUGAGUGCCUUGGGUGGGCCGGCACGUUUACUUUGAACAAAUUAGAGUGCUCAAAGCAGGCCGUUGGUCGCCUGAAUACUGUGUGCAUGGAAUAAUAGAAUAGGACCUCGGUUCCAUUUUGUUGGUUUUCAGAACUCGAGGUAAUGAUUAAUAGGGACGGACGGGGGCAUUCGUAUUGCGACGUUAGAGGUGAAA